GUGGAAGAGAAGUGAAAAGGAGAGUGCAGGCAGGGUGGAAUGGGUGAUGAAGAGUGUCAGGAGUAAUUUGUGGCAGACGGGUAUCAGCAAGAGUGAAAAGGAAGGUCUACAGGACGGUAGUGAGACCAGCUAUGUUAUAUGGGUUGGAGACGGUGGCACUGACCAGAAA